rnacentral:rRNA from 1 species
CAGUCCCGCGGGAAUACGAAGGGUGCAAGCGUUAAUCGGAAUUACUGGGCGUAAAGCGUGCGUAGGCGGUGAGUUAAGUCUGCUGUGAAAUCCCCGGGCUCAACCUGGGAAUGGCAGUGGAUACUGGCUCGCUAGAGUGUGUCAGAGGAUGGUGGAAUUCCCGGUGUAGCGGUGAAAUGCGUAGAGAUCGGGAGGAACAUCAGUGGCGAAGGCGGCCAUCUGGGACAACACUGACGCUGAGGCACGAAAGCGUGGGGAGCAAACAGGAUUAGAUACCCCGGUAGUCCCUGUCUCUUAUACA